rnacentral:rRNA from 1 species
GGUGCCCGUACCGCAAACCGACACAGGUAGGUAGGAAGAAGAUUCUAAGGCCAACGGGAGAAGGGUUGUUAAGGAACUCGGCAAAUUGACCCCGUAACUUCGGGAGAAGGGGUGCUCCAGAGAUGGAGCCGCAGAGAAUCGGCCCAAGCAACUGUUUACCAAAAACACAGGUUUGUGCUAAAUCGAAAGAUGACGUAUACGAGCUGACGCCUGCCCGGUGCUGGAAGGUUAAGAGGAGAUGUGCAAGCAUUGAAUCGAAGCCCCAGUGAACGGCGGCCGUAACUAUAACGGUCCUAAGGUAGCGAAAUUCCUUGUCAGGUAAGUUCUGACCCGCAUGAAAGGCGUAAUGAUUUGGGCACUGUCUCAACAGCCCGCCCGGCGAAAUUGUAGUACCGGUGAAGAUGCCGGUUACCCGCGACAAGACGGAAAGACCCCAUGGAGCUUUACUGUAGCCUAAUAUUGGGUUUCGAUGUUGCAUGCACAGGAUAGAUGGGACUCUGGGAAACCAAGGCUUUGGCUUUGGCGGAGAGGCCGUUGGGAUACCAUCCUUGCGAUAUUGGAAUUCUAACCUGCGCCUUUGAAUCAAGGCGGGGGACAUUGUUAGGUGGGCAGUUUGACUGGGGCGGUCGCCUCCUAAAGAGUAACGGAGGCGUUCAAAGGUUCGCUCAGCUUGAACGGAAAUCAAGCAAAAGAGUGCAAACGCAGAAGCGAGCCUAACUGCGAGACUGACGGGUCGAGCAGUAACGAAAGUUGGAGUUAGUGAUCCGGUGGUAUGUGAGUGGAAAUGCCAUCGCUCAACGGAUAAAAGUUACCCUGGGGAUAACAGGCUGAUCUCCCCCAAGAGUCCACAUCGACGGGGAGGUUUGGCACCUCGAUGUCGGCUCAUCGCAUCCUGGGGCUGUAUUCGGUCCCAAGGGUUUGGCUGUUCGCCAAUUAAAGCGG